GAGCUUAACUCCAUAGGAGCGGUGGAAACUGCUAGACUAGAGUUACAGUACGGGUAGCAGGAAUUCCCAGUGUAGCGGUGAAUGCGGUAGAUAUUGGGAAGAACAUCGGUGGCGAAAGCGUGCUACUGGGCUGAAACUGACACUGAGGGACGAAAGCUAGGGUAGCGAAAGGGAUUAGAUACCCCUGUAGUCCUAGCCGUAAACGAUGGAUACUAGGCGUGGCUUGUAUCGACCCGAGCCGUGCCGAAGCUAACGCGUUAAGUAUCCCGCCUGGGGAGUACGCACGCAAGUGUGAAACUCAAAGGAAUUGACGGGGGCCCGCACAAGCGGUGGAGUAUGUGGUUUAAUUCGAUGCAACGCGAAGAACCUUACCAAGGCUUGACAUCCCUGGAAUCCUGCGGAAACGUGGGAGUGCCUUAGGGAGCCAGGAGACAGGUGGUGCAUGGCUGUCGUCAGCUCGUGUCGUGAGAUGUUGGGUUAAGUCCCGCAACGAGCGCAACCCUCGUUUUUAGUUACCAUCAUUAAGUUGGGCACUCUAGAGAGACUGCCGGUGACAAACCGGAGGAAGGUGGGGAUGACGUCAAGUCAUCAUGCCCCUUACGCCUUGGGCUACACACGUACUACAAUGGUCGGGACAACGGGCAGCAAGCUCGCGAGAGUAAGCGAAUCCCAUCAAACCCGGCCUCAGUUCAGAUUGCAGGCUGCAACUCGCCUGCAUGAAGGAGGAAUCGCUAGUAAUCGCAGGUCAGAAUACUGCGGUGAAUUCGUUCCCGGGCCUUGUACACACCGCCCGUCACACCAUGGGAGCUGGUCACGCCCGAAGUCGUUACUCUAACCGCAAGGGGGAGGGCGCCGAAGGCAGGGCUAGUGACUGGGGUGAAUUCUUAACAAGGUAGCCGUACCGGAA
rnacentral:rRNA from 1 species